GCUUAUAAUCUAGCCCCACCUCACCUAUGACCCCUCUCACUCACCGAGUUAACUGACCAAAACAUUUUUAAAUUCAAGUAAAGGAGAUUAAAAAACUCUAUGGAGCAAUAAGAAUAGUACCGCAAGGGAAAGAUGAAAUAAUAAUGAAAUAAACUUUAAGCACAAAAAAGUAGAGAUAAUCCCUCGUACCUUUUGCAUCAUGGUCUAACUAGUCUAAUCAAGCAAAAAGCAUUUUAGUUUGACCCCCCGAAACUAAGCGAGCUACUUCAGGGCAGCUUUAUGAGCUAACCCGUCUCUGUCGCAAAAGAGUGGGAUGACCUUCAAGUAGGGGUGAUAGACCUAACGAGCUUAGUGAUAGCUGGUUACUCAAGAAAAGGAUCUUAGUCCAACCUAAAGCCCCCCGAAUUCAUAAAAAUCUUCUUUUGCGGCUUUAGAGCAAUUCAAAUAAGGUACAGCCUAUUUGAAACAGGGUACAACCUCAGCGGAAGGGUAAUAAAUUUUUUAAUACAACCAAGUAGGCCUAAGAGCAGCCAUCUUCUUAAUAGCGUCAAAGCUUAUUUGUUAUACUUAGCUAAUUCCUUAAAAUCUCUUCAACCCUCUAAUGAUAUUGAGUAAUUCUAUUUACCUUAUAGAACUUAUAAUGUUAAAACUAGUAACAAGAACUAAACCUUCUCCUAAAUGUAAGUGUAAAUCAGAAAGGAUAACCCACUGACAAUUAACGCCUAUGAGCCUAUAUUAGCAACUCCGCAAGAAAACCCUAAUGUUUAUUACGUUAACCUAACACAAGAACAUUUCAAGAAAGAUUAAAAGAAAAAGAAGGAACUCGGCAAAUCAUUAACCCCGCCUGUUUACCAAAAACAUCGCCUCUUGAACAAAAUAAGAGGUCCAGCCUGCCCAGUGACAUCAGUUCAACGGCCGCGGUAUCCUAACCGUGCGAAGGUAGCGUAAUCACUUGUUCUUUAAAUGAGGACUAGUAUGAAUGGCAUCACGAAGGUUAUACUGUCUCCUCUUUCUAAUCAGUGAAACUAAUCUCCCCGUGAAGAAGCGGGGAUGUGUAUAUAAGACGAGAAGACCCUAUGGAGCUUUAAAUUUUUAUUACAACUGCCACACCAGUAAAAAGUUCCGACUACUCAUAACUAACCCGGCACCAUGAUAAUAUAUUUUAGGUUGGGGUGACCGCGGAGAAUAAAAAAACCUCCUCAUUGAAGAAGGCUUCCUAGCCUUGAACUAAGAGCUACAACUCUAUGCACUAAAUCAUUAACAUCCAUUGACCCAAUUUCUUGAUCAACGAACCAAGUUACCCUAGGGAUAACAGCGCAAUCCACUUUAAGAGCUCCUAUCGACAAGCGGGUUUACGACCUCGAUGUUGGAUCAGGGUAUCCCAGUGGUGCAGCCGCUACUAAAGGUUCGUUUGUUCAACGAUUAAAACCCU
rnacentral:rRNA from 1 species